UACAGAGGUCUCAAGCGUUGUUCGGAUUCAUUGGGCGUAAAGAGCGUGUAGGCGGCCAGAUAAGUCCGCUGUGAAAACUCGAGGCUCAACUUCGAGCUGUCGGUGGAAACUAUUUGGCUAGAGUCCGGAAGAGGAGAGUGGAAUUCCUGGUGUAGCGGUGAAAUGCGCAGAUAUCAGGAAGAACACCCGUGGCGAAGGCGGCUCUCUGGUACGGAACUGACGCUGAGACGCGAAAGCGUGGGGAGCGAACAGG
rnacentral:rRNA from 1 species